CCUGUUGCAAUUUCGUCAUUAACCCGUAAACGAGAUUAAUGGUUGCCCUGGAAACUGGGGGUGCAUAAUAUUUACAUGCAUUCCGAGGGAGCCGCUCCCCUCCUGCACGCACACACGCACAGGCUCUCACUACUUCAACAGAAAAACAACAGCUUGAAUGGCUUGAAGAUCUAGAAGACAGAGCAACCAAUUCAUCUGGACCAAUUUGGGCAAAGAGAGAGAUUUAAGCACACGAGAAAUAACGGCCAUGUAUAAGUAACUCUGGACCAAAAACAGGCAACUGCAGUGCAGGAGUGCAUGUUAUAAGUUAAAGUAGCAUUAAAAAUGACAGACCUGGGAGAGUUAAAGUCACAUCCAGCUAGAAAGGAUGCAUUUUGCAACAUUAAACCACAUUUUGCAAAAAAAAAAAAAAAAAA